rnacentral:rRNA from 1 species
UACAGAGGGGGCAAGCGUUAUUCGGAAUUAUUGGGCGUAAAGGGCGCGUAGGCGGCCUGGCAAGUGGAAGGUGAAAUCCCUCGGCUUAACCGAGGAACUGCCCUCCAAACUGCUUGGCUUGAGUCCGGAAGAGGAGAGUGGAAUUCCUGGUGUAGCGGUGAAAUGCGCAGAUAUCAGGAAGAACACCCGUGGCGAAGGCGGCUCUCUGGGACGGUACUGACGCUGAGACGCGAAAGCGUGGGGAGCGAACAGG